rnacentral:tmRNA from 1 species
GGGGGUGAAAUGGUUUCGACGGGUAUAUGGGUCUUUGGAAUGCGAGUCGAGGGUGUUACCUCCUCGUUAAUCAAGGUAAAAGAAAAAAUAAAUGCUGAACCUAAAUUAGCACUUGCUGCUUAAUUGAAAAAGUAGCCGUCCUUUCGAAGGUUCUGAUUACCUGAUUCGAUAAGGGCGUGAGAAAGGUAAUCCUCGCUUUGCAUUUUGCCUUUGGAUGCAAAGAUGAGUACUUACAAAGGCUAUCCUCUUCCAUUUCCUGCCCUUUGGAAAGGAUGGGGAAACAUAAAAAAGGGCUACGCUCGUAGUAUUUCAAGGGAUUAUAUAUCCGGACGCGGGUUCGAUUCCCGCCACCUCCACCA